rnacentral:sRNA from 1 species
UUAAGAUAACCUUCCAUAUUUGGAUCUUAAUGUAUUUCUAAUUAAUUUUAAUGGAUUUUGCAUUUGUGAAAAGACUAAGCUAAAAUAAAAAAAUUAAACAAUAAUUAAACUAUAAAUUAGAAUAUGCUAAUAAAUUUGAAUAUGCAAAUGAUGAAUGAAUUAAUAUAAGAGGUAAAUUUUCUGAACUUGCAAAUAGUAUUUUAUUUCUUCUUAUUUAUUAUUAUUGUGCAUACACAACAUGGUGUGCCUGUGGGUUUAGUUCAUUCCUUUCUCUUUAUUGUGGGAUGCAAGGACUUAGGUAUUCCAGACUAUGGACAAGUGUUUUACCCAUGGGCCAUGUCAUGGGCCCCUAUUAUAUUUUUAACAAAUGGACAAGGCAUAGGUGGAGUCAGUUGCUAUAACUUUUACAACAGUCUAAGAGUAUUAUGGUGACAGACAGAUAUCAUGAAGAAUCAGUUGUAUCAAUAAAAGGGAAAGGCUUUUGUUAAUGUUUUAAAUGAUGUAAAUCAUCACUGAGCAGAUACUCUUAAAUAAUCCACAUUAUCUACUAGCUUCCACUAAUAUUUUUAAAGGGAAAUGUUAAAUUCAUCUUACUGGAUAUCUUCUGGUGCAUUGAUAACCUACAGUCAAUAUAAAGGGAAAAAAAAACAACUGGCCAAUAUUUGGUCAUUUUACAAACUACUGUGCUUCCUACGUUCUAAGAUGUCAAGUUCAAUGACUCUUAAAUGUGUCUAUUAGCGCUCUUUAGCACAGUUACAGAAUUAUUAUUUCCUUUAUGUAUCUUUGAGAGACAAAAUGUUGAUUAUUUUUUCAUUAAUUACGUUCCUUAUUAUAUUGUAAAUAUGAAGUUUUUCUCUGCCUUCUUGGAAACUGCAAUGGAAAUGUAGGAGUCUAUUGACUCUAUGCACAGACUAAGAGAUACGCAAAUGUCCCCAUAUAAUUUAGAGUAAGAAAAUUUCUUGUUGAAGUGAGAAUAAUCCUCCAUAUCUAACACUCUUCCUGAACUCAAUUAUUUUAGUUUGAUAAAAGAAUCAAACAUACAGAGCAAUAAAAUGAAUGAAAUAAGUUUAGAAUUCUAUACUCCAGUAUUCUAGCAAAUUCCAAGGAUCUCAUUAUCUACUUGAAUCAUCAGGAAAAUGUAUUUCGUAUGUAAGAAGUUUGUUUUUCUUAGUCUACAUAGGUUCUGUGUUUUGAGAUAGUGUCUUGCCUUGAAUAUCAGGUUGCCCCUGAAUGUAUCCUCCUCCUCCUGCUUCUGCCUCUCAAGCUCCAAAGCAACAGGUGUGAACAGCCACACACAAGAUGAUCAUGCUUGAUUAAUUACGUUUCAAAAAUAAUUCCUUGAGGUCUAUCCUUGCAAAGGAUGAAGGGCUCUAAAACAGGAGUGAAAAGGUAGCUAGAUGACCACUGACUAGCAUUCUUAGUAGCAACAGGCUAGUGCUAGUAGGAACAAUUAAAGCAAAUUAAAUGGCAGAGAGCCUGACCUUUUCCUCUCUCUGGUUUUUGGCAUGUACAUUUUAUAAUACCAAAUAACAACUCUAUGGAAUAUGAACAACGGUUUUCUCUGAAACCAAAAUUUAGUCAUUAAGAACACAAAUGGCAACUUCCAAAAAAAAAAAAAAAAAAAAAAGAAGUCCAUGUGAACCAAUGCAAAACAAAAAGUAGGUGCUAUUUCAGGAUUGUAGUUAGCGCCACAUGCCUAAGGUCAAGUGAGUCUUAGUUGCAAAUCUGUGUCUGCAUGUUCUGGAAAAUAAAUUUUAGGAUCAUUUCAGACAAGUAAUUUUGCAUACCAUGUGGCAAUUGAACCACUCUGUUCAUUUGUCUUACUCAUGAGGAAUCAUUGAAAAUUAUUUUAAUAUUAUUGAAUUCACUUCCUAUCAUUUGUCUUCACAAAAGCCCAAUGAGAGCUUCUAUGGAGCUAAAGGAGAUAUCCAUUAAUGAAUAUUUGAAAGGGAACAUAAGGUUUUAUAAGGAAGUGGGUUCUUCAUGGUAAAGAAGUAGUCUCCUAACACUAAUAGAGGUGGUUGGAGGAUCACUCUUUGCUCUCAGAAUGCAACAGAGAGCCUGAAGGAUUUUCUUGUUUCAGACUUCCUUCCUGCAGAGUUCUCUUCAUAAUUCUCAAUAUGGUGAGCAGCAUGAAGAUGCACUUCCUACCAAAUGUGCUAAUAUGAAGUCAAUUUAAAUUCUGAGUUGACAUUGAGGGAGCAAUCUGUAAUUAUUCAAUUUUGCAAUAAACUCUAGUUGUAGAUGCUCUAAGCAGAAAAGAUGAGAAAAAUGUGCAAAUACAAAUUGUGUGCUUAAAUCUCACUUAAAGUAUCCCUUCUGUAUAUUUAAAUCCUUACAUAUGUUUAAAGGGAAAUCUGUAUGUGAUCUUCAUAUCAGAAACAAUGAACGUAAUGAACAAGAUUUUGCAUGGUUCAUCCAAUGACAGGAGAAUAUAUUUUAAAAUGUAAUCUGUGGGUAUUUAAACAUUUUAUUAGAAUAAAGAUUUAAUCAUGGAAAAGAAAGCACAAGAUUUAGAGCUGGAUAAUAUAUGAAAUUUUAUGGAUGAAAGGUGGGCUAUGUAGGAUGGCAUCAUUGUGACAAAUAUCUAGGAAUACUAAGAUUAAAAGGAGAAAAUUUUAUUUUGGCUCAUGAGUUCAAAGUUUUCAGUUCCAGGUCCAUAGUUCUUAUACAGUUGUUGAAUCUUAACAACAGAGAAUAUCAGUCAGGUGGGCAGAAAUAAAGACACUCCAGUGCUUUUUAUCAUGGCAGGCAUAAAACAGAGACAGGAAAGGUGCAGGUACCAAAAUCUAUCUAUGUUCAACAGUGAACUAUGUCCUCCAUCAUAGCCCCAUAUCCUAAUUUUCUAGCAAGGCCACCAGCUAGUGUUCAAGAGUUCAACACAUGAGCCUGUGUGGGCAUUCCUUAUUCAAAUUAUAUCAGAAAGGUGAGACAAUGAUGCCACAGGUAACUAAUAUGUAUAGUUUAGGAGAUCUUAAUGAUGCGUUUCUUUAUAAACUUCAGACUGAAAGCAAGUUAAAAGGAGACCAUGUUGCUGGAUACUUUUGUCUUUAUGUAAAGCACAAAGCUGAUUUGAACAUAAAGGAGUCAACAGCCCAGAAAUGUCAAUCUGUGCAGAAAAAAGAAGUGCGAUCUCUCUAGCCUAGGGAAAAUCUAGAAAGAAAAAUCAAAUAAGCAAAAGGAAACAACACUUAUAGAACAAAUGAUGAUGUACCCAAGUACUGCUGUAAAAAGAACAACUCACACCCCUUUUAUCCACUCCAGGAACAGCUAUGACAGUACAGACUUGUAAAUGUGUAUCAUCCAGAGGCUGUGUCCUUCUUUUUGGCAUGCUCAAGUGCCUCCCCAUCUCACCCUACCCCUUUUCUCCUGGAUGGUUACAGGGAAAUUCCUGGGGUCCAGGUUUUUCAUAACCCUUUGGAUAGUCACAAAGCUGACCAUGGUGUCAGCUGAGACAUCAUAGAGACAUGAAACCUUAGUUUGCACCCAAGAAUAAUGAAAGGACAUUUCUUUAGGUGUCAUGAUGGUUAGAGAUGUCAAUUUGACCUAAAGGGUGGAAUUCUGCAGGGCUGUCUUGAAAUAAUUUCUUGAUAUAGGAUUAUCUGGUAUCACUGUAGGUAGGACCACUAAGUAGUGGAAGCCUACACUAUAUUAAGUGGAACGUGUAAACCAAACACUAGCAUGAAUUCAUCAGUGCUCUUCAUUAUUCACAUACGUGAUAGAACCAGGUGCGUCCAUCUCCUGCAACUAAGAUUACUCUCCUUUGUGACGACCUCUGACCUGGAACUGCACGCCAAAGUAAACCCCUUCCCAUUGAGUUACUUUAUCAAAAUUAUUAUUACAAAAGGAAAACAAUUUAAUAAAAUCAUCAAUAAAAAAUUAAUUAUAUUGCUGCAUUGGUAACAAAAGAAUCUCUCCGUAAUAGAAAAUUACAGGACACAUUCUUUUAACACUCAUGAGUCAAAUAUAAUAAGUCUGAAAGAAAAUCAUGAAGUCUAUUAAACUGAAUAAAAGUCAAAAUUUUCAUUUAUGGACAUUUGAUGACAUACACUAGUUAGAAAACAUUUAUAGUACUAAAUGUGUAAUGCAUAGAAAAAGAAAAGUGCCAGGAAUUACUAGGUGUGCCCCUGACCCCAGAACCUGGGAAACUGAGGUAGGAAGAUGGUAAUUCAAGGCUAUAUGGGAGACAGAGACCGACUCUGUCUGAAGCUAACAAACAACUACAAUCUUCAAUUAUAAUUUGACUGUCAAAACUGACAGAGCAAAUAAAAAUAAAAUUACAUAGUAUAACGUUAUUAUUAACUAUUGAACAGUGCUAUCUACUCCCAUAACCCACUUUAAAAAAAACAUACAAAAUGAAAGGAACCUAAGGAAGAGGCUGAGAAAAGAGAGCAAAACCCAAAAAUUAUAUUAAAAGGACAACAACAACAACAACAACAACAACAAAAAUAAACAGUGAAGAAUCUCAAAUCAAAUCAUUGAAAAAAUGAUUUUUAAAACUGACACAGAAAUUAUGCACAUAGACAAAAGUGGUGUUAUAAACGUUAUUGGAAUUAUUUACAAAAUUAUUUUUGUCCUGCGGGAAGACAUUUUAAGGAGGUAAAGUUAAACUGUGGAGAAGGAUAAAAUAUCUACUUCAAUACAUCAUGAAAAGAGCUAGAAACUAGAAUGGGAAGAAUGAGGAACUGGUGAGACGGCUCUGUGGUUAAAGGUGGUCACGGCUGAGUCUGAUUACCUGAGUUUGAUUCCUGGGACUGGGAUGGUGGAGGAGAGCACCCACUCCCUCAAGGUAUCUUUGGAUUGCCACACUUCUAGUAGUGACCAGGAAAUCUUCCCAAUAUACACAAAUAAGGAGUAAAUAAAUAAUUCUUUAAAUUAGACUAUAAAACUUUUAAAUCAUGUAAAAAAUAUACAAACAAGGCCAUUCUUUGGAUGGAUGUGAAGAGACACAGUACUUUAGAUUUUAUUCAGAUCACUGUGAACCUUGUCUAAGCUUGUCAUGCAUCAAAAAAAAAUCAAAUGAAGUUCACAGGGAAGGUUAAUCUCCAAGUAAAGUGGCUAGAAAAUAUUAGCAGCCACACCACAGUGUGGAGAGGAAUUGGAGAGAAGGGCUCACCCAGAGUAUUGCUGGCAGGAAUGGAAAAUGCUUCAUUCACUAUCUUGGCUUUGUUUCCUGUUGCUGUGAUAAAAUAUCUGACAAAAGCAAGUUUUAGAAGAAAGGGGCUUUUGUUGCUCACAGACCCAGUUUACUGCCUCUCACUGAGGGAAGUUACUGAGGUAGCAGAUGGAGAGAACUGGUCACCCUGCAUCCACACGCAAGAGCUGGUGUCAAUGGAUAAAUAUAUCAUGCGAUGUUAACCUCAUGCUCCUCCCAUGUAUGUGGUUUAGGGUCCUAUGGUAAGGAAUAGUGCUCUAGUCUCUGAGUGAUGUCUUUUCUUAUCAAUUAAGUUCAAGACAACUCACUUCAGACAUGGCCCUGAUCCAAUCUGCUCGAGACAACUCUUCACCAAUAUUUCUCCCUGAUGAUUCUAAAUUGUGUCAAGUUGACAGUCGCAGUUAAUGAUCACAAGAAUACUGGAGAAAAGUUAAAAUUUUUCUUCUAAAGAAAAAUAAGUUCAGACAUGCACGUGCAUGCGUGCGUGCACACGCAAACACUCCCCUGUUAACAGGCUAGGGUGUGACUUGAUUUUGCAGGGAUGGGAAGCACUGUGCAUGAUCUGAGACUCUGGACUAAGACAUCUAUGGGGCAGACAAAUAGACGAAUACCUGGUUCUUGACUUGAGCUGUAACUACAAGAAUGCUUCCUUUAAAAUAUUUUCUGAGGUCCUGUAUGUAUUUUCUAUGCCUUUUAAGAAACUGAAGAUUUUAGAGCAGAUUUUUCAAUUUAAAAUUUUCAAAUCUUACAAAUGAUUUUAAGCCUAUAUUUUUUUUAACUUUAGUAUGUACAGAUGGUCUUCAAUGUAUGACCAUACUACUUAACAUUUUCCUCAUAGCAAUACAUAUUCGGUACAAACCAUAUUUCAAAUAUCUUUUUGGUUAAUGGUGGAUUCUUGAGCUACUUACUAACAGCAGAAAACCCAUAGCUGCCCGUCAGCCCAGUGAAGAUAAAAGUGACAGUGUGCGUUGUCCUAAGUUUGAAGCUCAGUAGCCAAGUGCGUUCAUGGCGUAUAUGUAUAUGACAGCAUAUGUGCCUUAGCCACUUUGCUGUUGCUGUAAUAAGAAGUUUGAUUAAAGCAAAUUAAGGGAAGAGCAGUUUAUUCUGGCAUCAUGGUAGGGAAAUCACAGAGACAGAGGAAACUUGCCACAUUGCAAGUACAUCCCAGAGCAGUGAAUGAUUACAUGAACUCUCAACCGUGUUCUCUGUUUUAUAUACUUCAGAAUCCAUACCCAGGAAGUCGAGCUGGGCAGGGAGACAUAGGUUGUCCUUUUAUACCCCAGGAUGACCUCUAACUUUCUACGUAUCCCAAGAUAGCCUUUAAUACUCAACCUUCCUGACUCAGCUCCCAGGACCCUGGGAUUAUGAGUGCAAAUUAUAAGAUUCAUUCUAAUCCUAAUGAUAAUAGCAUCUUUCCCUUCUUCCACAAGCUAGUUAUUAGGGGUUUCUAGUUCUGUUAAUGUAAUAGUUAAUUUUCAAGAGACAAAAAUGCUAGAUUUUUAGUAUAGAAGCAGUUAUCUAUUUUCAUGUUUAAAAAUGAACUAAAGUAUAAGAGACCAAUAUAACCCUGGUGAUAAAUUUUACAUGCUUUUAAAGCAGUGUUGUCUGGAUCUCAAGUAUGAGAAAUUAUAAUCUAUCAUCAGAAGAGCAAGGGACAAGGUUUGUGUACAACUAGUGGAAAUUUUAGCAUUUCACUUUUACAGAUAUCGCUUCCUAAGUGAAAUUCAUAUUUACUACAUUGGGAAAUGCUGAUUUAAUUUGUCAAUGUUAUUUAUAGCCCAAUGGCCAAUUUUGUAUACAAUAUUAAUAUUAUAAGAAUAAAAACCUAAUUAUGCAUUUAUUACUUACAUAAUUAUGAUCUAAUUAUCCAACUAGCAGAAAAUGCCUUUCACUGUGGGUAGAUUUCAAUAAAGAUAUUUUUUAUAAACUUUACUUGGCACUUACUGUGCAAUAAAUGUCUCCAUAAAUAUAAAUCCAGUGCUUUCUUCAGAGAGCCCAUUUUACAUAAUCAAUCUUAGUGACAACAGUUUUGUUUAGAAAAUAUGACUUUUAAAUAUUGAAUAGAUUAGAGCCCAUGGCUUUUCCUAAGCAAUACUCCUCCUUCCUUAUAAAUGACGUUUAAAACUGUUCUUUUCUGUUUCCUUUCAAUGUGAAACAAAAUAGUCCAUCAAUUGUGUCAUCUCAAUUGUGUCAGGCUUCCUCCUUCUCUUCUUCUUUUGUAUGGUUUCGUGGAUAAUUGAGUAAAAUUAUUGAAUAUGAAGCAUACCAAGGGUAGAACACUCUUAUGUGGCCAAAUUUGCUAGACCCCUCUUCUAGGGUCUCACCACUAUUACACACUAGCAAAACAGAAACUCUGUACAUUAGUAACUGUACAUUAUCCAGAAACUCAUCCAAGCAAAACCAAUGGUAAAACAAACGAGUAAGACCUAAUGUCUCAUUACCAGACAUAAUUACUACAAAUAAACAUGUUUGAGAUUUUAGAGAUAUUUGAAGGAGACUGGAAAUUUCUGGUGUUACUUAUGUGGUUAUGUUAAGACCAGCAUUCAGAUUUGUUACUAUGCAACAAAUUUGUUACUAUUUUGAUGAUUGGCUUUCUUAAACUGUACACUUCUUAGGAAAGUGAAUUAAAAUAUUAGCAACUGACUUUCAUAGUCAAGUCUUUUUUCUGGGUUAUUUCAUCACUUACUUAUUCAUUCAAUAAAUAUAUUAUCCCACUAUUUUUUACCAUUUCCGUUGUAGCCUAAGUAAUGUGACCAAAACUAAAAUGUGCACUUUUAUAAAAUCAUGAUCAAGUGGAAGGCAACAUUACAAUAAAAGCAAGGUAGAUAUAGUCAGAUGGUAAAUGCUAUAAAUAUUCUAUAGUUAAUUCACAGAGGAAUAAAACAAUAUCAGGGUCCUGUUUUGUGAUUUUUGCGAUAAAAUGAAAAUUGGGAGGGUCUUGGUGUAAAUAAAAGAGUUAUCCAGGUGACAAACUAAGGGAGCUGUUUCACCGAAAGGCAAUUGUAAGCUUAUUGGUCCUGUAGAUGAUCCAGAUGUGUGAGCCCAUGUGUAGCUAGAAUGACGGCAGGCAAAGCUGGGAACUCAGGACAGAGCUUGAGGAGCUGGGAGAUCUACAUGGAAGUUGAUUGCACACAUUAAGAAGAGGAACCAUAAAACAUUUUAAAAGAGAAAAGACAGUUUCUGAAUUCUGCUAAUACAUUUCACUCUGGCUUUGGUGUGAAAAAUACUGCAGAGUUAGAGAAGACAGCAGCAGAAUGACUGAUCAGGAGAGAAAUGGAAUACUUCUAAGGUGGAAGUUGUCUGUAUUUGGACAACUGCUGCUGAGUAGGUGAAGGAUCUAUGUAGAUGUUGGGAAUAGAGAAAAGAAGAAUUGACAAUCAAGUCAAGACUUGGGGUCUGUACAAUAGAAGGACGUAGUAAUACACGGCAGAGAUGGAGAAGAGAAGGAAGAUAGAAGUUCUGAAAUAUUGACUGAACAGGUAACUACAGUUUAAUCAUUUCAAAAUAUCAAUCCAUAGAUGUAUGUUACACAGAGAUGCACAGGAACAUGCACAAACAUCAUAAGGAAAUGGGAACGAGAUACCUGUUAUCCUCUGUGGAGACACAGUGGUGCAUCAUUUUGAGUGGCUACUAUGAAACAUAUUCCAAAGAAGAGAUGUGGAGAACUCCCAAAGCCAGCAACACAAACUGUCAGUUAUUCAGUCAUUGUAAUGCCUGAUUUGUUCUGGAUCUAUACAGCCAUUGUUUCACAGUUGUAUAUGCUGAUUUCAUGGGACAUCAAGAGCCCUGGUUAGCUUACUUAUCAAGAUAAUUGAUGAACACUUAGAAGAGGGGUUAUUGAUGACUAUGUUCUUUGAACACUAAUUUAGUGUCCCCUGAUCAACAUCUAUGGCAAUGUUUGUUGUCAAAACGACGGUUACAAUAAGAACUAUAAGACAAGAGAAGCAAAUGUUGUGAGGGAGAAGUUUGUGGGAUUGGUCAAGGCCUCAUGAUAUGUUUCUUCCUUGGGUCUUCUCCAGAGGCUCCACAUCUGUAUCCCAUCUGCUUUUAAACCUACUUGUUUGGCUUCCUGUUCCUACUGAGCAACAGAAAAAAGACCUCAGCCCCCAGACUUCUUUACACCCAAUAAUGUUCACAUUAUGUGAACUAUGAAAUAUAUGUGUGCUAAAAUCCUGAAA